AGCGUACAAUCGGCGACGACCGAGACAAUAUGCCGUGUGCUGUCCGACACAACCUUAUUCCUGUUGCCACAGUGGAUCUUUUUCACCACUGCUCUCCUGGAACUGUCAGGGCACUGAUUCUGGAUGAAAAGUCUUCUCCAUAUCGUUAGUUCCUGCAGAUCCGAUAUGACCUCCUGUCUCCAUUCAGCUGCUCAAGGCAGAUGGUUUCUUACCAUUGGUGACCACAGAAGUGUUCAUGGGGGUGAAACGGUGGAUUGUUUUGCAACAUGUGCAGACUUCCUGAGAGAACGAUUGCUACACAACACCAAAUACACAGAAAUAUGUGUUUAUCAAUCCUUUAUGCAUGUAAAACUGUAAUUGUAAAACUCUAAAACUAAACUUGUUGUUUGAGACGAGCUAAUAGGAUGCUAUCAUGGAUGUUUUCUGAUAAAAUACAUUACAAACUCAGGUGGACUCACAGUGUGUAAACAACAUAAGAUGCUAACCAGAAAAAAUACUGGCCUACAUAUUUGACUGAAAAACAUGCUAACUGAGGCGUACGCUAACCCAGGUUCCACUGUACAGUCAUC